UACGGGGGGAGCAAGCGUUGUUCGGAUUUACUGGGCGUAAAGGGCGCGUAGGCGGCCACCGCAAGUCGACUGUGAAAUCUCCGGGCUUAACCCGGAAAGGUCAGCCGAUACUGCGGGGCUAGAGUGCAGAAGGGGCAACUGGAAUUCUCGGUGUAGCGGUGAAAUGCGUAGAUAUCGAGAGGAACACCUGCGGCGAAGGCGGGUUGCUGGGACGGUACUGACGCUGAGGCGCGAAAGCGUGGGGAGCGAACAGG
rnacentral:rRNA from 1 species